UACUGAUUUUUGAUUGUCGAUUACCGUCAAAAAGUUAAACAGGGAAAUCGGCCGUUUAAGUGUCUGGCGGAAUUGCAAAUUUGUAUUUUUCAGAGUUGGUAACGCGAUAUAAAGUCGAUUUAAGCAGUUGUAGGUCAUAGGUCAACUGGUUGGCGAAAAAGCGCGCCAAAAAAGAAGUUUGUGGAGUCCACUGUAAUAUAAGAUAGUCGGAUUUUUUACAGAAAUUGGAACGUUGUUACUUCAGAUACGGCGUGUUUUAACAUAGGAGUAUGUGCGUACGUAAGUAGCGAAAAUUAUUCUCAAAUUAGUAAGAUUCUACCUAAUAUAGUAAUUUACAAGUAAGUAUGUUCUUACACUACAGAUAGAUUUGAUGCAAUUUAUUUGUUGUUUAUGUUCCGCCCUCGGCAACUUCUUUCAAGGGUGGAGGGAGAUAGAAGAGGGGGUGAAGGUGGAUGAAGAUGCUGGACCUAGUGUGCGGCCUCAGCGUCCACUUAACCGGCAAAACCCUAUGGAAGUGCACACAAGGAGUUUCGAUCUCGGUAUCGAUUACUCAAAUGUGUUUUCCUGAACCUGCUUGGUAUUUUGCUUCCCAGUUUGCAGGUACGCAGCCAGGCCACCCCACCAAUGUUCCAGCUUUUGGUGUGCUUGCAUUUUUUUGCUACAGGACACUUUCAAAAGAGUGACGGGAAUCUUUUGAUGUUAGAUCAGUCAACUGUGAGCAGAAUUGUUAAACGGAUUUCGGGAGUCAUUGCUCGUCAUUUUGGAAACUCAAUCCGGACACCGACUGCGACCGAGGUGUUGAAGUUGAAGCAACAAUUUUAUGUCGUUGCAGGUUUCCCGUGUGUGAUUAGAGCAAUCUACUGCACACAUAUCCCAAUCUGCUAUCCUGGUGGUUUGGAAGCAGGACAAUUCCCUAACAGGAAGGGAUAUUUUUCCAUCAUGUGCAGUGUGUGUGUGUGAUGCCUCGAUGCAAUUUUGGAACGUUGUUUCAAGAUGGCCAUGCUCCACGCACGACUCCCGCAUCUUUGAUAACAGUAAACUGUUCACUGAAAUGGAAAGCUUACUAGGCAAGGGGAUACUGCUGGGAGAUAGGGGGUACGCAGCAAGGAGCUAUUUAAUGACACCGAUGCAAAAUCCAUCUACACCUCAGGAAGUCCGUUACAACCGAAGCUAUAUAAGAACACGAUGCACAAUCGAACGAGCUUUUUUUUAAAAAACAACAGUUUCGCUGUUUGUGCAUUGCUCUGCGGAUCAAACUGGACACGUCUUUGACGAUCAUCACCGCCAUUGUUUGUUUACACAACUUGGCUAUUGACAAGAAAGAAAUAUUUUGCCUGACGAGAAAGAAAUCGGUGAUGCAGUUACAUCCCCCUCCCCACCUGUCGACGACGAUGUACCUUUAACAUCACACGGAAGUGUGUUUCGGAGACAUUUCAUUUGUGCAUUUAUUUUUUAUGUUUCGGAGACAUUUAUUUCAUCUUGCAACAUUUUUGAAAUGCAUUUAUUUUUUUAUGUAUACAUGUAUGAGUAAAAUCAUGAAAAAAUGCUCGUUUUUGUUUUUAUGUUGUUAUUUUAUUCUUCUUUUGUAAUCUGUUUUUGUGCUCGGUGACCUAAAUUUGUAUCUCGAGGAAGCGCCUCUGUCCUGGUUUAACAAAAAAAAAUUCGAGAAUUGAUAAAUUUGGGUAGAGCAGCAGGUCAGAUCGGCUGUUGCUUGUUUCUAUUGUAUAUAUAUAUAUAUAUAUAUUUGGUUGUUAAUUUGUUUCAUUUAUUAAACCAUAGUACUCUAAAACCACAGUACACUAACAUGGUAGUUCAACUCAAUUUUCACCUUUGUUUCUUUAUUGUGCGCACAGUUCCUCCUCACGCAUGAGUGCUUCUCUACAAGACCUCGUUCAACUGCUGCAUACACUUGGUGUUUAAUACGUUUUCUGUUUGAUUAGUGAGUAUAUAAGUCACUAAAUAGAUAAUUAGCAUGCCUGC